AACGAACGCUGGCGGCAUGCCUAACACAUGCAAGUCGAACGAGACCUUCGGGUCUAGUGGCGCACGGGUGCGUAACGCGUGGGAACUUGCCCUUAGGUUCGGAAUAACUCCCCGAAAGGGGUGCUAAUACCGGAUAAUGUCUUCGGACCAAAGAUUUAUCGCCUUUGGAUGGGCCCGCGUUGGAUUAGCUAGUUGGUAGGGUAAAAGCCUACCAAGGCGACGAUCCAUAGCUGGUCUGAGAGGAUGAUCAGCCACACUGGGACUGAGACACGGCCCAGACUCCUACGGGAGGCAGCAGUGGGGAAUAUUGGACAAUGGGCGAAAGCAUGAUCCAGCAAUGCCGCGUGAGUGAUGAAGGCCUUAGGGUUGUAAAGCUCUUUUACCCGGGAUGAUAAUGACAGUACCGGGAGAAUAAGCUCCGGCUAACUCCGUG
rnacentral:rRNA from 1 species